rnacentral:misc_RNA from 1 species
GUUCGAGCGUCAUUACAACCCUCAAGCUCUGCUUGGUAUUAGGCUUCACCCUUAGGGGCGGGCUUUAAAAUCAGUGGCGGUGCUAUUCGGCUUCAAGCGUAGUAAUUUUUCUCGCUUUGGAGGACCGGGUGUGUGUUUGCCAACAACCCCAAUUUUUAAAGGUUGACCUCGGAUCAGGUAGGGAUACCCGCUGAACUUAA